rnacentral:ncRNA from 2 species
GAAUAAAUUGUAGCAUUACGUCGUAUAAUUUUGGGAAUAUGGCCCAAAAGUUUCUACCGAGCUACCGUAAAUAGCUUGACUACGAGGUAAGUGUCUUAAUAA